AAGCUCUCCUAUAACACCAAAUUUUCAUCUUUUAAUUCUAAUUUUGGCUUCUCUAGGACCAUAUAUGGGUCUAACUAAGAAAAUUCUUGGACUACACAAAUUCUUCUUAUAUCAAAUAUUAUAUCAAUAUAAUUGAAUGGGUGAUUGGAAAAAGGAUAACAUUCCAAAAAUAUGGCGAAUUGAAAUUUCCGUUUGUUUUGCGAUUUCAUCAAGUAAGCAGUGUUGUUUAGAUGUUGUUGAAAAGUAUUUUAAGAGUUGUUUAAAAAGUGAAUAUUAUUUAACAUUGACCCGUGGUGAAUAUUAAAGUUAUUUAGAAUUUAAUAGUUUGGUAUUUAGUGGAAAUGUCGGAUUCGGACUAUUUGGAGGAAGAACCCGCAAACUCGGGCAAGAAGCGAAAGCUUAAUAAAAAUUAAACACAAAAGAAAGGGAAAAAUUGGCAAGACAGAAAGGAGCAGAGUUUGUUACAUAUAAAGGUAAACUAGUUAAUGCUAAAGUAACCGGGCCAGAUUGCACCUGUCGUAAGAAAUGUAUGGCGGAUUUUACAUUUGAAGAAAAACGUUCAAUCAUCGAAAUCGUUUAUAGUGGAAGACCAAAAAAUGAAAAAGAUCGGAUUGAUAGAGAGACAUGAUGUCGUUAGACAUCGUCCUGUGUCAGCAGGAGCUAGACAGUUUUCUUCUUCUUUCAAAUAUUUUGCUAUGAAAGGUGCGUGCAGAGUUGAAAUUUGCCGCAAUGCUUAUAUAAGUUUACAUGCUCUCUCCAAAAAAGCCGUACAACGCUUAACUAAAAUAGUUGAAACCAAAAUUUUACCAGUUGAUAUGAGAGGAAGCCAUGCAAAUCGUGCAAAUAAACUUGAUGUCACGAUUGUCGCCAAAAUUGAAGAUCACAUACAAUCAUUUCCGAAAAAAGAGUCUCAUUAUUCUUCUAAGUUAACUAUCUACUUAGAUGCGAGCUUGAGUGUAACUAAGAUGUAUGAGCUCUUCAUCAAUGAAAAUCCGGAUUUAAAAAAUAUCGUAAAGUAUGAAUAUUAUCUGCGACAUUUCCGAGAAAACUACGGAUAUCGGUUUGGUAGACCCCAGGUCGACGUUUGCUCAACCUGUGAAGAUUUGAAUGUAAAAAUAACGUCAACAGCUCUUAAUGAAACAGCAAAAAGAUGCGCAGUUGCAGAACUUAUGAUUCAUAGAAGACGAGCAUCUAAAUUUUAUAAGAAACUCCAAGAAAUCAAAGAGACCUGUAAGGAGAGAAGUCACGUUGGAGCAAUAGUCUUUGAUUAUAUGCAAAACCUUCCCCUUCCCUUAAUGCCAGUUCAGGAAAUGUUUUAUCUACGUAAACUCUGGUAUUACGUUUUUAAAGUUCAUAGCCUUGACAACGAUAUAUCCAUGUUCUAACAGAGGGUGAUGCUCAGAGAGGCCCCAAUGAAGUCAGUACGUCGGUUUUGGACUUUAUUGCCAAUCAUAUUCCUGAAGAAGUAAAAAUCUUGCAUGUCUUUAGUGAUGCAUGUGCAGGUCAAAACCGCAAUCAUACUUUAACCAGGUUGUUUACUGCACUGACCAUGAAUAAGAGAUUUCAAGAAAUUCAUCAGUAUUUUCCAAUCCGGGGCCACAGUUUUCUGCAUUGUGACAGAAACUUUUCAGUUAUUAGGCGCUCUUUAAAAAAAUUCGAUAGGAUUUAUUCUCUUGAUCAAUACAACGAAAGCAUUACGUCUUCCAAGAAAAAGAUUAAUAAUAAGUUCCAAUUCAAGUAAAACGGCUAACAAAUGCCGAUAUACUGGAUUUUAAAGGCUGGUGGCCGCAAUAUUUUAAAAAGAGUGUCAAAGAUGUUGAAAAAAAACAGUCCUUUACCACAAGUAAAUACAGGCAUUUAAUAUAUACCCAAACAAUGAAAGGCUAUAUCAAGGCUUCUGAAUUCAUUGAUGGUUUUACCUAUGGUAUUUUUAAUAUGAAAAAACAAGACAAUAUAAACCUUCCCAACUCGAAACUCCAAGAAGCUAGAAGAUGUUUCUAAAAUAAUACAUUAUAUACCAGAUGAGUACAGGGCUUUCUACGAUGAUAUACUCACAAAUCCCACAACAAAUAGAGACCACAGUGACCCAGAAGACUGAAAGGGAUAUGAAUGUCA